GAAGAGUUUGAUCAUGGCUCAGAUUGAACGCUGGCGGCAGGCCUAACACAUGCAAGUCGAACGGUAACAGGAAGCAGCUUGCUGCUUUGCUGACGAGUGGCGGACGGGUGAGUAAUGUCUGGGAAACUGCCUGAUGGAGGGGGAUAACUACUGGAAACGGUGGCUAAUACCGCAUAACGUCGCAAGACCAAAGAGGGGGACCUUCGGGCCUCUUGCCAUCAGAUGUGCCCAGAUGGGAUUAGCUUGUUGGUGAGGUAACGGCUCACCAAGGCGACGAUCCCUAGCUGGUCUGAGAGGAUGACCAGCCACACUGGAACUGAGACACGGUCCAGACUCCUACGGGAGGCAGCAGUGGGGAAUAUUGCACAAUGGGCGCAAGCCUGAUGCAGCCAUGCCGCGUGUAUGAAGAAGGCCUUCGGGUUGUAAAGUACUUUCAGCGGGGAGGAAGGUGUUGUGGUUAAUAACCGCAGCAAUUGACGUUACCCGCAGAAGAAGCACCGGCUAACUCCGUGCCAGCAGCCGCGGUAAUACGGAGGGUGCAAGCGUUAAUCGGAAUUACUGGGCGUAAAGCGCACGCAGGCGGUCUGUCAAGUCGGAUGUGAAAUCCCCGGGCUCAACCUGGGAACUGCAUUCGAAACUGGCAGGCUUGAGUCUUGUAGAGGGGGGUAGAAUUCCAGGUGUAGCGGUGAAAUGCGUAGAGAUCUGGAGGAAUACCGGUGGCGAAGGCGGCCCCCUGGACAAAGACUGACGCUCAGGUGCGAAAGCGUGGGGAGCAAACAGGAUUAGAUACCCUGGUAGUCCACGCCGUAAACGAUGUCUACUUGGAGGUUGUGCCCUUGAGGCGUGGCUUCCGGAGCUAACGCGUUAAGUAGACCGCCUGGGGAGUACGGCCGCAAGGUUAAAACUCAAAUGAAUUGACGGGGGCCCGCACAAGCGGUGGAGCAUGUGGUUUAAUUCGAUGCAACGCGAAGAACCUUACCUGGUCUUGACAUCCACAGAACUUUCCAGAGAUGGAUUGGUGCCUUCGGGAACUGUGAGACAGGUGCUGCAUGGCUGUCGUCAGCUCGUGUUGUGAAAUGUUGGGUUAAGUCCCGCAACGAGCGCAACCCUUAUCCUUUGUUGCCAGCGAUUAGGUCGGGAACUCAAAGGAGACUGCCAGUGAUAAACUGGAGGAAGGUGGGGAUGACGUCAAGUCAUCAUGGCCCUUACGACCAGGGCUACACACGUGCUACAAUGGCGCAUACAAAGAGAAGCGACCUCGCGAGAGCAAGCGGACCUCAUAAAGUGCGUCGUAGUCCGGAUUGGAGUCUGCAACUCGACUCCAUGAAGUCGGAAUCGCUAGUAAUCGUGGAUCAGAAUGCCACGGUGAAUACGUUCCCGGGCCUUGUACACACCGCCCGUCACACCAUGGGAGUGGGUUGCAAAAGAAGUAGGUAGCUUAACCUUCGGGAGGGCGCUUACCACUUUGUGAUUCAUGACUGGGGUGAAGUCGUAACAAGGUAACCGUAGGGGAACCUGCGGUUGGA
rnacentral:rRNA from 1 species